rnacentral:tRNA from 2 species
GCCUCUGUAGCUCAGGCGUAGAGCGACACAUUGGUAAUGUGUAGGUCGCGGGUUCAAUUCCCGCCAGGGGCU